rnacentral:rRNA from 1 species
CCCUACGGGGUGCAGCAGGCGCGAAACCUUUACAAUGCACGAAAGUGUGAUAAGGGAAUCCUAAGUGCUCACGCUAUGCGUGGGCUUUUGCCAAGGGUAAAAACCUUGGAGAAUAAGUGGUGGGUAAGACUGGUGCCAGCAGCCGCGGUAACACCAGCGCCACGAGUGGGGACCAUGUUUAUUUGGCCUAAAGCGUCCGUAGCUGGCUUUGUAAAUCUCUUGUGAAAUCGUUAAGCUCAACUUAACGGCAUGCAGAAGACACUGCAAGGCUUGAGACCGGGGGGGGUAUGGAGUAUUCUGAGGGAACCGGUAAAAUGGGAUAAUCCUCGGAAGACUACCUGUGGCGAAGGCGCCAUACCAGAACGGAUCUGACAGUGAGGGACGAGGGCUAGGGGAGCGAACCGGAUUAGAUACCCGAGUAGUCCUAGCAGUAAACGCUGCGGGCUAGGUGUUGCACAAUCUCCGAGAUUGUGCAGUGUCGAAGCGAAGGCGUUAAGCCCGCCGCCUGGGAAGUAUGGUCGCAAGACUGAAACUUAAAGGAAUUGGCGGUGGAGCAC